rnacentral:rRNA from 1 species
UACGGGGGGGGCAAGCGUUGUUCGGAAUUACUGGGCGUAAAGGGCUCGUAGGUGGCCAACUAAGUCGGGACGUGAAAUCCCUCAGCUUAACUGGGGAACUGCGUCCGAUACUGGAUGGCUCGAGUUUGGGAGAGGGAUGCGGAAUUCCAGGUGUAGCGGUGAAAUGCGUAGAUAUCUGGAGGAACACCGGUGGCGAAGGCGGCAUCCUGGACCAACACUGACACUGAGGAGCGAAAGCCAGGGGAGCAAACGGG